AGUGAACGCUGGCGGUAGGCCUAACACAUGCAAGUCGAACGGCAGCACAGUAAGAGCUUGCUCUUACGGGUGGCGAGUGGCGGACGGGUGAGGAAUACAUCGGAAUCUACUUUUUCGUGGGGGAUAACGUAGGGAAACUUACGCUAAUACCGCAUACGCCCUACGGGUGAAAGCAGGGGAUCUUCGGACCUUGCGCGAUUGAAUGAGCCGCUGUCGGAUUAGCUCGUUGGCGGGGUAAAGGCCCACCAAGUCGACGAUCCGUAGCUGGUCUGAGAGGAUGAUCAGCCACACUGGAACUGGGACACGGUCCAGACUCCUACGGGAGGCAGCAGUGGGGAAUAUUGGACAAUGGGCGCAAGCCUGAUCCAGCCAUACCGCGUGGGUGAAGAAGGCCUUCGGGUUGUAAAGCCCUUUUGUUGGGAAAGAAAAGCAGCAGGUUAAUACCCCGCUGUUCUGACGGUACCCAAAGAAUAAGCACCGGCUAACUUCGUG
rnacentral:rRNA from 1 species